rnacentral:rRNA from 1 species
CCGCACUUGUUAUUGAAGUAUACGUUUAAACUAUUGUUAAGGAACUCGGCAAAAUGACCCCGUAACUUAGGGAGAAGGGGUGCCUGUCUAUGACAGGCCGCAGAGAAUAGGCCCAAGCGACUGUUUACCAAAAACACAGGUUUCUGCUAAGUCGCAAGACGAUGUAUAGGAGCUGACGCCUGCCCGGUGCUGGAAGGUUAAGGGGAUCUGUUAGAGCAAUCGAAGCAGUGAACUUAAGCCCCAGUAAACGGCGGCCGUAACGAUAACGGUCCUAAGGUAGCGAAAUUCCUUGUCGGGUAAGUUCCGACCCGCACGAAAGGCGUAACGAUUUGGGCACUGUCUCAACAAUAGACUCGGUGAAAUUGUAAUCCCGGUGAAGAUGCCGGGUACCUGCAACAGGACGGAAAGACCCCAUGGAGCUUUACUGUAGCUUGACGUUGGGUCUUGGUACUACAUGUACAGGAUAGGUGGGAGACUAUGAAGCAUGGACGCCAGUCUGUGUGGAGUCAUCCUUGGGAUACCACCCUUGUAGUACUGGGAUCCUAACCAUAGGCCUUGAAUCAGGUCUUGGAACACCGUCAGGUGGGCAGUUUGACUGGGGCGGUCGCCUCCUAAAAAGUAACGGAGGCGCUCAAAGGUUUCCUCAGCACGGUCGGAAAUCGUGCGAAGAGUGUAAAGGCAAAAGGAAGCAUGAUUGCAAGACAUACAGGUCGAGCAAGGACGAAAGUCGGACUUAGUGAUCCGGUGGUACCGCAUGGAAGGGCCAUCGCUCAACGGAUAAAAGCUACCCUGGGGAUAACAGGCUUAUCUCCCCCAAGAGUCCACAUCGACGGGGAGGUUUGGCACCUCGAUGUCGGCUCAUCACAUCCUGGGGCUGUAGUAGGUCCCAAGGGUUGGGCUGUUCGCCCAUUAAAGUGGUACGCCAGCUGGGUUCAGAACGUCGUGAGACAGUUCGGUCCCUAUCCGUCGCAGGCGUAGGAAAUUUGAGAAGACCUGUCCUUAGUACGAGAGGACCGGGAUGGACGUACCUCUGGUGUACCAGUUGUUCUGCCAAGGGCAUGGCUGGGUAGCUAUGUACGGAAUGGAUAAGCGCUGAGAGCAUCUAAGCGCGAAGCCAACUUCAAGAUAAGAUUUCCCACCGUAAGGGUAAGACCCCAGGAAGACUACCUGGUUGAUAGGUCGAAGGUGUAAGUGCAGUAAUGUAUUUAGCUUAUCGAUACUAAUAGGUCGAGGACUUGACCU